rnacentral:rRNA from 1 species
CAGCAGCCACGGUAAUACGAAGGGUGCAAGCGUUAAUCGGAAUUACUGGGCGUAAAGCGUGCGUAGGCGGCUAAUUGAGUCGGAUGUGAAAUCCCCGAGCUUAACUUGGGAAUUGCAUUCGAUACUGGUUAGCUAGAGUGUGGGAGAGGAUGGUAGAAUUCCAGGUGUAGCGGUGAAAUGCGUAGAGAUCUGGAGGAAUACCGAUGGCGAAGGCAGCCAUCUGGCCUAAUACUGACGCUGAGGUACGAAAGCAUGGGGAGCAAACAGGAUUAGAGACCCCUGUAGUCCCUGUCUCUUAUAC